rnacentral:rRNA from 1 species
UUAAGCGACUAAGCGUACACGGUGGAUGCCCUGGCAGUCAGAGGCGAUGAAGGACGUGCUAAUCUGCGAUAAGCGUCGGUAAGGUGAUAUGAACCGUUAUAACCGGCGAUUUCCGAAUGGGGAAACCCAGUGUGUUUCGACACACUAUCAUUAACUGAAUCCAUAGGUUAAUGAGGCGAACCGGGGGAACUGAAACAUCUAAGUACCCCGAGGAAAAGAAAUCAACCGAGAUUCCCCCAGUAGCGGCGAGCGAACGGGGAGCAGCCCAGAGCCUGAAUCAGUAUGUGUGUUAGUGGAAGCGUCUGGAAAGGCGCGCGAUACAGGGUGACAGCCCCGUACACAAAAAUGCACAUACUGUGAGCUCGAUGAGUAGGGCGGGACACGUGGUAUCCUGUCUGAAUAUGGGGGGACCAUCCUCCAAGGCUAAAUACUCCUGACUGACCGAUAGUGAACCAGUACCGUGAGGGAAAGGCGAAAAGAACCCCGGCGAGGGGAGUGAAAAAGAACCUGAAACCGUGUACGUACAAGCAGUGGGAGCACGCUUAGGCGUGUGACUGCGUACCUUUUGUAUAAUGGGUCAGCGACUUAUAUUCUGUAGCAAGGUUAACCGAAUAGGGGAGCCGAAGGGAAACCGAGUCUUAACUGGGCGUUUAGUUGCAGGGUAUAGACCCGAAACCCGGUGAUCUAGCCAUGGGCAGGUUGAAGGUUGGGUAACACUAACUGGAGGACCGAACCGACUAAUGUUGAAAAAUUAGCGGAUGACUUGUGGCUGGGGGUGAAAGGCCAAUCAAACCGGGAGAUAGCUGGUUCUCCCCGAAAGCUAUUUAGGUAGCGCCUCGUGAAUUCAUCUCCGGGGGUAGAGCACUGUUUCGGCAAGGGGGUCAUCCCGACUUACCAACCCGAUGCAAACUGCGAAUACCGGAGAAUGUUAUCACGGGAGACACACGGCGGGUGCUAACGUCCGUCGUGAAGAGGGAAACAACCCAGACCGCCAGCUAAGGUCCCAAAGUCAUGGUUAAGUGGGAAACGAUGUGGGAAGGCCCAGACAGCCAGGAUGUUGGCUUAGAAGCAGCCAUCAUUUAAAGAAAGCGUAAUAGCUCACUGGUCGAGUCGGCCUGCGCGGAAGAUGUAACGGGGCUAAACCAUGCACCGAAGCUGCGGCAGCGACGCUUAUGCGUUGUUGGGUAGGGGAGCGUUCUGUAAGCCUGCGAAGGUGUGCUGUGAGGCAUGCUGGAGGUAUCAGAAGUGCGAAUGCUGACAUAAGUAACGAUAAAGCGGGUGAAAAGCCCGCUCGCCGGAAGACCAAGGGUUCCUGUCCAACGUUAAUCGGGGCAGGGUGAGUCGACCCCUAAGGCGAGGCCGAAAGGCGUAGUCGAUGGGAAACAGGUUAAUAUUCCUGUACUUGGUGUUACUGCGAAGGGGGGACGGAGAAGGCUAUGUUGGCCGGGCGACGGUUGUCCCGGUUUAAGCGUGUAGGCUGGUUUUCCAGGCAAAUCCGGAAAAUCAAGGCUGAGGCGUGAUGACGAGGCACUACGGUGCUGAAGCAACAAAUGCCCUGCUUCCAGGAAAAGCCUCUAAGCAUCAGGUAACAUCAAAUCGUACCCCAAACCGACACAGGUGGUCAGGUAGAGAAUACCAAGGCGCUUGAGAGAACUCGGGUGAAGGAACUAGGCAAAAUGGUGCCGUAACUUCGGGAGAAGGCACGCUGAUAUGUAGGUGAAGUCCCUCGCGGAUGGAGCUGAAAUCAGUCGAAGAUACCAGCUGGCUGCAACUGUUUAUUAAAAACACAGCACUGUGCAAACACGAAAGUGGACGUAUACGGUGUGACGCCUGCCCGGUGCCGGAAGGUUAAUUGAUGGGGUCAGCGCAAGCGAAGCUCUUGAUCGAAGCCCCGGUAAACGGCGGCCGUAACUAUAACGGUCCUAAGGUAGCGAAAUUCCUUGUCGGGUAAGUUCCGACCUGCACGAAUGGCGUAAUGAUGGCCAGGCUGUCUCCACCCGAGACUCAGUGAAAUUGAACUCGCUGUGAAGAUGCAGUGUACCCGCGGCAAGACGGAAAGACCCCGUGAACCUUUACUAUAGCUUGACACUGAACAUUGAGCCUUGAUGUGUAGGAUAGGUGGGAGGCUUUGAAGUGUGGACGCCAGUCUGCAUGGAGCCGACCUUGAAAUACCACCCUUUAAUGUUUGAUGUUCUAACGUUGACCCGUGAUCCGGGUUGCGGACAGUGUCUGGUGGGUAGUUUGACUGGGGCGGUCUCCUCCUAAAGAGUAACGGAGGAGCACGAAGGUUGGCUAAUCCUGGUCGGACAUCAGGAGGUUAGUGCAAUGGCAUAAGCCAGCUUGACUGCGAGCGUGACGGCGCGAGCAGGUGCGAAAGCAGGUCAUAGUGAUCCGGUGGUUCUGAAUGGAAGGGCCAUCGCUCAACGGAUAAAAGGUACUCCGGGGAUAACAGGCUGAUACCGCCCAAGAGUUCAUAUCGACGGCGGUGUUUGGCACCUCGAUGUCGGCUCAUCACAUCCUGGGGCUGAAGUAGGUCCCAAGGGUAUGGCUGUUCGCCAUUUAAAGUGGUACGCGAGCUGGGUUUAGAACGUCGUGAGACAGUUCGGUCCCUAUCUGCCGUGGGCGCUGGAGAAUUGAGGGGGGCUGCUCCUAGUACGAGAGGACCGGAGUGGACGCAUCACUGGUGUUCGGGUUGUCAUGCCAAUGGCACUGCCCGGUAGCUAAAUGCGGAAGAGAUAAGUGCUGAAAGCAUCUAAGCACGAAACUUGCCCCGAGAUGAGUUCUCCCUGAC